rnacentral:tRNA from 1 species
GCCCGCAUAGUUCAAUGGAUAGAACAAGUUCCUCCUAAGAAUUAGAUGCAGGUUCGAUUCCUGCUGUGGGUGCCA